UACGUAGGUGGCAAGCGUUGUCCGGAAUCACUGGGCGUAAAGCGCGCGCAGGCGGCGAUCUUACGUCUGGGGUGAAAGCCCGGAGCUCAACUCCGGGACUGCCUUGGAUACGGGGAUCGCUUGAGGAUUGGAGGAGGCAAGGGGAAUUCCACGUGUAGCGGUGAAAUGCGUAGAUAUGUGGAGGAACACCUGUGGCGAAGGCGCCUUGCUGGCCAAAUUUCUGACGCUGAGGCGCGAAAGCGUGGGGAGCAAACAGG
rnacentral:rRNA from 1 species